rnacentral:rRNA from 1 species
CCUACGGGAGGCAGCAGUGGGGAAUAUUGGACAAUGGGCGAAAGCCUGAUCCAGCAAUGCCGCGUGAGUGAUGAAGGCCUUAGGGUUGUAAAGCUCUUUUACCCGGGAUGAUAAUGACAGUACCGGGAGAAUAAGCUCCGGCUAACUCCGUGCCAGCAGCCGCGGUAAUACGGAGGGAGCUAGCGUUAUUCGGAAUUACUGGGCGUAAAGCGCACGUAGGCGGCUUUGUAAGUAAGAGGUGAAAGCCUGGUGCUCAACACCAGAACUGCCUUUUAGACUGCAUCGCUUGAAUCCAGGAGAGGUGAGUGGAAUUCCGAGUGUAGAGGUGAAAUUCGUAGAUAUUCGGAAGAACACCAGUGGCGAAGGCGGCUCACUGGACUGGUAUUGACGCUGAGGUGCGAAAGCGUGGGGAGCAAACAGGAUUAGGAUACCCUGGUAGUCCACGCCGUAAACGAUGAUAACUAGCUGUCGGGGCUCUUAGAGCUUCGGUGGCGCAGCUAACGCAUUAAGUUAUCCGCCUGGGGAUACGGCCGNAAGGUUAAAACUCAAAUGAAUUGACGGCUGAGACGNGCGAGACGACGACGAGGGAGAG